rnacentral:rRNA from 1 species
UACGGAGGGUGCAAACGUUGCUCGGAAUCAUUGGGCGUAAAGCGCACGUAGGCGGCCUGUUAAGUCGGAUGUGAAAGCCCAGGGCUCAACCCUGGAAGUGCACUCGAUACUGCGAGGCUAGAGUCCCGGAGAGGAUGGUGGAACUCUCGGUGUAGAGGUGAAAUUCGUAGAUAUCGAGAAGAACACCGGUGGCGAAGGCGGCCAUCUGGACGGUGACUGACGCUGAGACGCGAAAGCGUGGGGAGCAAACAGG